AGUGAACGCUGGCGGUAGGCCUAACACAUGCCAGUCGAACGGCAGCACAGUAAGAGCUUGCUCUUACGGGUGGCGAGUGGCGGACGGGUGAGGAAUACAUCGGAAUCUACUUUUUCGUGGGGGAUAACGUAGGGAAACUUACGCUAAUACCGCAUACGACCUACGGGUGAAAGCAGGGGAUCUUCGGACCUUGCGCGAUUGAAUGAGCCGAUGUCGGAUUAGCUAGUUGGCGGGGUAAAGGCCCAUCAAGGCGACGAUCCGUAGCUGGUCUGAGAGGAUGAUCAGCCACACUGGAACUGAGACACGGUCCAGACUCCUACGGGAGGCAGCAGUGGGGAAUAUUGGACAAUGGGCGCAAGCCUGAUCCAGCCAUACCGCGUGGGUGAAGAAGGCCUUCGGGUUGUAAAGCCCUUUUGUUGGGAAAGAAAAGCAGCAGGUUAAUACCCCGCUGUUCUGACGGUACCCAAAGAAUAAGCACCGGCUAACUUCGUG
rnacentral:rRNA from 1 species